CCACCACCAAAGCAUUUGCUGUACCGCGUUGACGGAGCGAAGCGACGUCAAACCGAUAAAACAGCAGUGUAAAGUGAGCCGCAGGGCGCUUUGCGCGACAGCGCAAAGGCAGGCGGUUUCGCGUAGCGAAAGCGAAUGCUUUGGGGUGGGGUGACUGCGUACCUUUUGUAUAAUGGGUCAGCGACUUAUAUUCUGUAGCAAGGUUAACCGAAUAGGGGAGCCGGAGGGAAACCGAGUCUUAAUUGGGCGUUAAGUUGCAGGGUAUAGACCCGAAACCCGGUGAUCUAGCCAUGGGCAGGUUGAAGGGUGGGUAACACUAACUGGAGGACCGAACCGACUAAUGUUGAAAAAUUAGCGGAUGACCUGUGGCUGGGGGUGAAAGGCCAAUCAAACCGGGAGAUAGCUGGUUCUCCCCGAAAGCUAUUUAGGUAGCGCCUCGUGAAUUCAUCUCCGGGGGUAGAGCACUGUUUCGGCUAGGGGGCCAUCCCGGCUUACCAACCCGAUGCAAACUGCGAAUACCGGAGAAUGUUAUCACGGGAGACACACGGCGGGUGCUAACGUCCGUCGUGAAGAGGGAAACAACCCAGACCGCCAGCUAAGGUCCCAAAGUCAUGGUUAAGUGGGAAACGAUGUGGGAAGGCCCAGACAGCCAGGAUGUUGGCUUAGAAGCAGCCAUCAUUUAAAGAAAGCGUAAUAGCUCACUGGUCGAGUCGGCCUGCGCGGAAGAUGUAACGGGGCUAAACCAUGCACCGAAGCUGCGGCAGCGACACUGUGUGUUGUUGGGUAGGGGAGCGUUCUGUAAGCCUGUGAAGGUGUGUCGUGAGGCAUGCUGGAGGUAUCAGAAGUGCGAAUGCUGACAUAAGUAACGAUAAAGCGGGUGAAAAGCCCGCUCGCCGGAAGACCAAGGGUUCCUGUCCAACGUUAAUCGGGGCAGGGUGAGUCGACCCCUAAGGCGAGGCCGAAAGGCGUAGUCGAUGGGAAACGGGUUAAUAUUCCCGUACUUGGUGUUACUGCGAAGGGGGGACGGAGAAGGCUAUGUUGGCCGGGCGACGGUUGUCCCGGUUUAAGCGUGUAGGUGUGUGUUCCAGGUAAAUCCGGUUCACUUUAACACUGAGGCGUGACGACGAGGCACUACGGUGCUGAAGCAACAAAUGCCCUGCUUCCAGGAAAAGCCUCUAAGCAUCAGGUAACAUCAAAUCGUACCCCAAACCGACACAGGUGGUCAGGUAGAGAAUACCAAGGCGCUUGAGAGAACUCGGGUGAAGGAACUAGGCAAAAUGGUGCCGUAACUUCGGGAGAAGGCACGCUGACACGUAGGUGAAGUGAUUUACUCAUGGAGCUGAAGUCAGUCGAAGAUACCAGCUGGCUGCAACUGUUUAUUAAAAACACAGCACUGUGCAAACACGAAAGUGGACGUAUACGGUGUGACGCCUGCCCGGUGCCGGAAGGUUAAUUGAUGGGGUCAGCGCAAGCGAAGCUCCUGAUCGAAGCCCCGGUAAACGGCGGCCGUAACUAUAACGGUCCUAAGGUAGCGAAAUUCCUUGUCGGGUAAGUUCCGACCUGCACGAAUGGCGUAAUGAUGGCCAGGCUGUCUCCACCCGAGACUCAGUGAAAUUGAACUCGCUGUGAAGAUGCAGUGUACCCGCGGCAAGACGGAAAGACCCCGUGAACCUUUACUAUAGCUUGACACUGAACAUUGAGCCUUGAUGUGUAGGAUAGGUGGGAGGCUUUGAAGUGUGGACGCCAGUCUGCAUGGAGCCGACCUUGAAAUACCACCCUUUAAUGUUUGAUGUUCUAACGUGGACCCGUUACCCGGGUUGCGGACAGUGUCUGGUGGGUAGUUUGACUGGGGCGGUCUCCUCCUAAAGAGUAACGGAGGAGCACGAAGGUUGGCUAAUCCUGGUCGGACAUCAGGAGGUUAGUGCAAUGGCAUAAGCCAGCUUGACUGCGAGCGUGACGGCGCGAGCAGGUGCGAAAGCAGGUCAUAGUGAUCCGGUGGUUCUGAAUGGAAGGGCCAUCGCUCAACGGAUAAAAGGUACUCCGGGGAUAACAGGCUGAUACCGCCCAAGAGUUCAUAUCGACGGCGGUGUUUGGCACCUCGAUGUCGGCUCAUCACAUCCUGGGGCUGAAGUAGGUCCCAAGGGUAUGGCUGUUCGCCAUUUAAAGUGGUACGCGAGCUGGGUUUAGAACGUCGUGAGACAGUUCGGUCCCUAUCUGCCGUGGGCGCUGGAGAACUGAGGGGGGCUGCUCCUAGUACGAGAGGACCGGAGUGGACGCAUCACUGGUGUUCGGGUUGUCAUGCCAAUGGCACUGCCCGGUAGCUAAAUGCGGAAGAGAUAAGUGCUGAAAGCAUCUAAGCACGAAACUUGCCCCGA
rnacentral:rRNA from 2 species